CUGGUUGAUCCUGCCAGUAGUCAUAUGCUUGUCUCAAAGAUUAAGCCAUGCAAGUGUAAGUAUGAACAAAUUCAGACUGUGAAACUGCGAAUGGCUCAUUAAAUCAGUUAUAGUUUGUUUGAUGGUAACUACUACUCGGAUAACCGUAGUAAUUUUAGAGCUAAUACGUGCAACAAACCCCGACUUCUGGAAGGGAUGCAUUUAUUGGAUAAAAGGUCGACACGGGCUCUGUGAAGGGACCGACCCACUUUUUCGUACCAUCAGUACGAGCCUGGCUCGACUUCCUCGAUCAGACCUGGGCCGUUUUCCUAUUUUUCUUUACUUAGGAUUAUUUCCGAGUUUUAGUUCGUUUUCAGACAAUGAAGCAAGCAAAAGAAGAUUUGAAUAGAUUAACUGAGGUUCGAGUUAACAAGUGAGUUUGCUAUAAGCUAUUACAAGUUAAACUCGUCCUACAUCUAACCAAAUCCCCCAUCCUUCCUUCCUGCCUUAGCCCCACGGUCAAGCUAUGUCUUUACCCUUACGGGUCUGGUCCUGAUCUGCAUCCAAAACAAGGAGGCAUAAGCAACAGUUUGCUUAGUGAUGCGGUCAUUCCGUCUCACUCGGCCAUGUAAAGCAAUCGAGUCAAUCAGUCAAUAAACGGACAUGCUUAUCAUCAGUCAGUUACUUAGCUGACCCAAUCGUCCUAAGCCAACGCACCAUCAGAUUCAGUCAAGCCCUAGCAGGCCAUUACGGCUCUAGGCGCAUGAUCUGAUCCAGAUGCGUCGAUGGAAGGAACCGACUGUUCGGACCAAGCCAGAACUUAGCAGAUAAUUCGAAUUAGACAAGCAAUCAGUACAUAGAACAUUCAUAUCAUUCAGACUACGAUUCAGUACGAUAGGCUACGGUCACGCACUGACCUUUUUCUUAGAGUCGGUAUGUUCUGUUUGAUUCGGUCUCUUCUGACACCUCUUGAGCGGUUUCUGUCGGAUCUUCGAACGUUCAGACAGUCAGAAUCACCCCACAGACGAUCGUUCUUGACUCGGACUUGAUCGAUCCAGCCAAAUAUCAAAAGUUCUCUCUUAAUCGGAAUUUUCUCUCUCUAAGUUUCUCUCUGGUUCUUUCUUUCUGUUUCCGUACAGAACAAUGGCGAAAUAAGACCAAGGAGACGAUUAAAAUGGGCAGUUGGGCGGUUUAGGCCCGAGAAACUACAAACAUAACCGUUCCUGCUUAUUUUACACGCGGCUCUUCAUCCGUAACCGCCACCCCGCGCUCCAAAGCGUGCCAGCGCGAGUUUUUCCCCUUUUCGGACUUUAACUGUUCCCGCCAGUUUUACUUAGACAAAACUCGAGCUAGAGCUGACUGAUGCAGUCGACAACUCUAACCGCCUUGUCUGAAUCAGGUCAUCUCAGCUUAGCCGACAGUCUUAACCGCCUUGUCUGAUUUCUGACAAUCGCUGUCUAGCCGACCAGCUCAACCGUCAUGUCCAAAUCCGACAACACUUGUCCGGAUCCGACCAUUGCUGUCUGAAAAGACCACUUUGCCUGGAUUUUCAUCGAACUGGCUGAACACUACUGAGUUCCGCAAAUCGAACGGCCUGGUCCAAUAACCCGAGCGUAAGACAGACUGAUGGAGCUUUGUCUGGCUCAAAAACAGAUCAGAUCCUAGCUUUAUUCGGUACAUGGUUCCGCUCCAUCCACUACUAAUCAGACUUCCGAACCAAGAACUCCCAUCCACCCACGGUAAGUCCUUACAACUUUGGCCAGCUCUUUCUAGCAUCAUCAAACCCAUUCAGUACGUUCCAAAAGUCCGACCAGUCAGUCCUCAGAUCAUCCUAUCAUCGAUCUUCGGAACACGGUCGCUACAUUCUGCCCGUUGCUCUGAUGAUUCAUGAUAACUCGACGGAUCGCAUGGCCGUAGUGCUGGCAACACAUCAUUCAAAUUUCUGCCCUAUCAACUUUCGAUGGUAGGAUAGUGGCCUACCAUGGUGGUAACGGGUGAUGGAGAAUUAGGGUUCGAUUCCGGAGAGGGAUCCUGAGAAACGGCUACAACAUCCAAGGAAGGCAGCAGGCGCACAAAUUACCCAAUCCUGACACGGGGAGGUAGUGACAAUAAAUAACAAUACCGGGAUCUUUGAGUCUUGUAAUUGGAAUGAGUACAAUCUAAAUCCCUUAACGAGGAUCCAUUGGAGGGCAAGUCUGGUGCCACCAGCCGCGGUAACUCCAGCUCCAAUAGCGUAUAUU
rnacentral:ncRNA from 1 species